rnacentral:lncRNA from 1 species
AAAUUAAAUAUGGUUUGUCAAAUUCCUAAAACCUCAUCAAAACACCAAAGAAAUGGCCAUGAGAUUUAUCAUAGGUCAAACAAGGUCAAAGGACCUUGGAGAAAAAAAUUCAGAAUUUUUAAUGUCAAAUUCCUAAAACCUCAUCAAAACACCAAAGAAAUGGCCAUGAGAUUUAUCAUAGGUCAAACAAGGUCAAAGGACCUUGGAGAAAAAAAUUCAGAA